rnacentral:rRNA from 1 species
UACGUGGGGUGCAAGCGUUAAUCGGAAUUACUGGGCGUAAAGCGUGCGCAGGCGGUUAUAUAAGACAGAUGUGAAAUCCCCGGGCUCAACCUGGGAACUGCAUUUGUGACUGUAUAGCUAGAGUACGGUAGAGGGGGAUGGAAUUCCGCGUGUAGCAGUGAAAUGCGUAGAUAUGCGGAGGAACACCGAUGGCGAAGGCAAUCCCCUGGACCUGUACUGACGCUCAUGCACGAAAGCGUGGGGAGCAAACAGG